CAAUGCAAAAAGGCCAUUUGUGUCGAAUAACAAAUUGCUGAUGUUGUAUUA
rnacentral:pre_miRNA from 1 species